rnacentral:rRNA from 1 species
GACGAACGCUGGCGACGCGCUUAACACAUGCAAGUCGAACGGAAAGGCCUGCUUUCCCUUGUGGAUUGCGGGUACUCGAGUGGCGAACGGGUGAGUAACACGUGAGUGAUCUGCCCCCAACUUGGGUAUAAGCCUGGGAAACUGGGUCUAAUUCCCGAUAGGACUGCAGGGUGGUGCCUGUGGUGGAAAACGAUUUUCUAGUGGUUGGGGAUGAGCUCGCGGCCUAUCAGCUUGUUGGUGGGGUAAUGGCCUACCAAGGCGGCGACGGGUAGCCGGCCUGAGAGGGUGGACGGCCACAUUGGGAAUGGGAGACGGCCCAGACUCCUACGGGAGGCAGGAGUGGGGAAUAUUGGACAAUGGGGGGAAGCCUGAUGCAGCGACGCCGCGUGGGGGAUGACGGCCUUCGGGUUGUAAACUCCUUUCGACCGCGAGGAAGCCACCUGGUUGGAAGGGUGGUGACGGUAGCGGUAGAAGAAGCACCGGCUAACUACGUG